ensembl:snRNA U5 U5 spliceosomal RNA
AUACUCUGGUUUCUCUUCAGAUCGUAUAAAUCUUUCGCCUUUUACUAAAGAUAAACGUAAGCUCAGUUGUUUCAGGGUAGAACACUAAUGUUCUUGCAACUAUUCUUCAAAUUUGAG